rnacentral:tmRNA from 1 species
GGGACCGACCUGGCUUCGACGUGGGUGCGGAGUCGGCGCGGGGCAUGCCGAGCACCAGUUCGCUCGUAAAUCCACUGGAAACAAGUAACUGCGAACGACGAACGUUUCGCCCUCGCCGCUUAACACCGGUGAGCCUCGCACCAGUCUGCCGAUGGGCUGGGCGGCGGGCCGCAAGGCCUGACGCAGCGGGGUCAUUCACAUCGGAUCGGCCCUCGCCGCGUCAUUCGGCAGGGGCUCAGAUCCAAGUGACUCGGGGCUUCGGUAGCGUGCUGCUGCGCGACCGCGGCUCCUAAACUCAAAUCAGACAGCUACGCAUGUAGAACCGUCCGGCGAUGGCUUGCGGACGGGGGUUCGAUUCCCCCCGGUUCCACCA